rnacentral:lncRNA from 1 species
CAGAGUAUAGAGUUAUACAAGUAUAUAUGUAAUAAAUGCAUCAAUUCAAUUCUUGCUAUGCAUGCAUGGUGACUCUCCAUGCUGUCACAAAUGUGCAUACUUUUCCACGCCUUAAUUGGCAUUCCACACAAACUGUAUGGGAUAAAUGAAUGAAACCCUCAUACCCAUUUUAUCAGUAACAUUACCAACUUCCCUUUUCC